rnacentral:rRNA from 1 species
AUAGCGUAUAUUUAAGUUGUUGCAGUUAAAAAGCUCGUAGUCGGAUUUUGGCUGAGAACGGUCGGUCCGCCGUUAGGUGUGCACUGACUGGUCUCAGCUUCCUGGUGAGGAGGUGUGCUUCAUCGCCACUUAGUCACCGUGGUUACUUUGAAAAAAUUAGAGUGUUCAAAGCGGGCCUACGCUUGAAUAUAUUAGCAUGGAAUAACACCAUAGGACUCCUGUCCUAUUUCGUUGGUCUCGGGACGGGAGUAAUGAUUAAGAGGAACAGUUGGGGGCAUUCGUAUUUCAUUGUCAGAGGUGAAAUUCUUGGAUUUAUGAAAGACGAACUUCUGCGAAAGCAUUUGCCAAGGAUGUUUUCAUUGAUCAAGAACGAAAGUUGGGGGCUCGAAGAUGAUUAGAUACCAUCCUAGUCUCAACCAUAAACGAUGCCGACUAGGGAUUGGCGGAUGUUAAUUGAUGACUUCGCCAGCACCUUAUGAGAAAUCAAAGUUUUUGGGUACCGGGGGGAGUAUGGUCGCAAGGCUGAAACUUAAAGGAAUU